GUCUCAAUCUUUCUCAUGACUUACUGAAGUUAGUGGAAGGAUUUACGACUUGUCGGUUGGACCAGCUAGUCUUUAAUCUUUUUCAUGACUUGGUGAAGUUAGUGGGAGGAUUUAUGACUUGUAGGUUAACUGAUUACUUUUAAAAUAUAUUAACCAAAUCUUCUAAAUUAUUAGGUCCAUAAAAUGAGCUAGUUUUGAAGAUAACUAGAUCAUAGCCUCCCAUUAAGGUGCAUGAAAAUGCAUCCAAUAUUCUAAAUAGGCAUUGAAGGUGUCACACGCCUGGUGUCUAUUGGG
rnacentral:lncRNA from 1 species